rnacentral:lncRNA from 1 species
UCCUACACUACUUCCCCUAGAUGACAAAGUGAGUGUAGUUAGUAAUGCAAAAUAAAUGCAUCAUAAAAACAUUGAUAAAUAAACAAAUAGAUCAUUCUGCAGUUGUAAAUCUAGCGCAUCUUAUAGUUGGAGACAAUGGACGAAUACUAGGAACUCCAAAUGCAGGUCGAAGUCUAUAUAUCGAGACAUUGUCAGUUGUUGAUUCAAAGUCCAAUUUGUGAUAACGAUGCCUCUCAUUCACCUUAAACAGGCCCAAGAAAGUUGGAGAAAGAGACUCUUUUAUGGGUUUAUUUUUAACAAAAACGAAUUCAGUUUUUUUUUAAAUUAUUUGUUAAAGCUCCUUUAUUUAAGUGUCUCGGAGGAACGUGUGUUAUUUUCUCCAUUGUUUUAAAGAAACUUUCGACGUCGAGGUUGCCAGAAGAAAAGGUAGACACAUUAAAAAAAAUUAAAGGUCACGGAUCCUGAGUGACCUGCUUGUAAUUGAGAAAGUGAAUGUUUAGAACCCAGGUCUAUUGCAUUCGUGCUACUAGCCCAGUAUUAAAUGAUCAAUGGAAACAUUCUAUGGGUCUGUUGGACUCUGGAUGAUACGAAGAUGUGCUCUUGCUUUCAAUACCAAGUGUCCUGCAUACACCCAUCCAUAAUGAACUUGUGAACUCUGUCCCUCGGUCAGACACAAUGGUUUCUGGAACUUCAAACCUCGAAAUCCAACCACUUAAAAAAAUUAUUGACUAUUGUCGUGAAGGUUAUAUCUGGAAUAGCUAUCAUUUCUGGCUACCUUGUGAAACGAUCCAUAAUAGUUAAGGCAUGGUGAUGUCCCUAAAUUAGUGGAAAUGGACGGAUUAUGUUUAGGUGUAUAAAGGAAAGUCUUUCAGAAGGAAGAUCGAAAGACGACAUUGGUUUUGAUGGCCUGAAAGGUUUGGGUUUCUGACACACAAAACACUCUCUAGUUAAGUUUGUGACGUCUGCACGCAAAUUAGGCCAAGCAUAAAAAAGUGAAAUCCCCCUUAACGUUUCUUUGAAUCCCAGAUGAUUGUCCUUGUGUAAAGAGUGCAACUAUGCUUUGACACAAUUCUGGAGAUGACACAGCCACACGGAAUGCGUCGACAUUACCAAAACCAGAAAAUAGGGUUCCUGCUAUGAUUUUAAAAGAAGGUUUAGCUUUAAACUUAAGUAAAUUAUGAUCCUGUUUCUUUUGAUCCUCAAUUAUAUAGAAGACCCAAUGAAGGGUGAGCCUAUUGUGAUGUUAUUUAUACUUCUAGAAAGAAUGUCUGCUGUAUGAUUUAAUUUUCCAUAAACGUGUUCGAUAUCACAAUUGAAUUUUUCCAUAAAUGAAAAAGUACGGAACUGUCUUGGUGUCCAAGAGGGAUUGCGAAUGUCUAAAGGGUUGUGAUACGUGAAAACUUUAAAACUUGUCCAUCCAAAGCCCAUAGAAAAUGUUUGAUGCUUUCCUUAACACUUAAUAAUUCCCUAUCAAACGUAGAAUAUUUCUGUUUAAUCUUUGAACGAGCCCGAAACCAAAAAGCCAGAGGUUGCCAUUGUGCAUUUCACUUUUGCUCGAGAACAGCUUCCAUCCCUAUAUCAGAUGAAUCAGUCGUCAGGGCUAAAGGCAAUGAACUAUCUGUAAUACAAGUUGAGUACUUGGAGACAAACUAUUUUAAUACUUUGAAAGGCGUGUUAAUAUUUUGUAUUCCAAUUAAACUUUAUAUUCUUCUUUAACAGGGUGUACAAAAUGAACUAGGAUUAAUAUUGGGUCACGUCCAAAAAUCUAUGCAGAUCAUCUUUUGAUUUUGGAGUUGGUAAUUUUUGGAUUGCCUUUACCUUACAUUCUAGACGCUUGAAACCUUUCGAUGAAAUAUAAUGUCCAAGGAAGUAUACCGAUUCCAUGAAAAACUCACAUUUUUCAGGGGAGAAGAUCAUACCAGCUGUUUCAAGUCUUGACAAAACCACGUUCAAAGUUUUCCAAUACUCAUUCAUCAACUCUGAAGCGACAAGGAUAUGUUCAUUCUGCACUACUUUAAACACCUGCCUGUAGAAAGAGAAAAUAAAAUUAUGACUGAUGUAAAUAAUAACAGUAAAAAUGUAUACUAUUUUGUACUUGUCUCAAAACAAGUCUGAAUAAAAUUGUUACUAAUAUGUAGUUCAUUCCUACGUUAAUAAAAAAAUUGUUGAAACUUCA